GUGCUCUAAUGGGUCCAAAUCCAACUAUCCGCAAGGCGCCGACCAGCAUAAACGAAUCAGCGUGGAGGCGAGAACCGCCUCACACGCGGAAGGUCGCUGGUUCGAAACCAGCCGGGACCACCA
rnacentral:tRNA from 1 species